GACGAACGCUGGCGGCGUGCCUAAUACAUGCAAGUCGAGCGGACGUUUUUGAAGCUUGCUUCAAAAACGUUAGCGGCGGACGGGUGAGUAACACGUGGGCAACCUACCUUAUCGACUGGGAUAACUCCGGGAAACCGGGGCUAAUACCGGAUAACAUCUAGCACCUCCUGGUGCCGGAUUAAAAGAGGGCUUCUUGCUCUCACGAUGAGAUGGGCCCGCGGCGCAUUAGCUAGUUGGAGAGGUAACGGCUCCCCAAGGCGACGAUGCGUAGCCGACCUGAGAGGGUGAUCGGCCCCACUGGGACUGAGACACGGCCCAGACUCCUACGGGAGGCAGCAGUAGGGAAUCUUCCGCAAUGGACGAAAGUCUGACGGAGCAACGCCGCGUGAGUGAUGAAGGGUUUCGGCUCGUAAAGCUCUGUUAUGAGGGAAGAACACGUACCGUUCGAAUAGGGCGGUACCUUGACGGUACCUCAUCAGAAAGCCACGGCUAACUACGUGCCAGCCGCCGCGGUAACAC
rnacentral:rRNA from 1 species